rnacentral:rRNA from 1 species
AGAGAUGUGUGAUGACGCAUAUCAAUAAGCGGAGGAAAAGAAACUAACAAGGAUUCCCUUAGUAACGGCGAGUGAAGCGGGAAGAGCUCAAAUUUGAAAUCUUCAAGGUUCUACCUUGACGAAUUGUAGUUUAUAGAAGUGUUUUCUGUUAGUGGAGUGGCAAAAGUUCUUUGGACUAGGACAUCAUAGAGGGUGAGAAUCCCGUAUUUGGUCAUUCCUCCUAGCGUUGUGAUACACUUUCAACGAGUCGGAUUGUUUGGGAAUGCAGUCCAAAAUGGGUGGUAAAUUUCAUCUAAAGCUAAAUAUUGGCGAGAGACCGAUAGCGAACAAGUACCGUGAGGGAAAGAUGAAAAGAACUUUGAAAAGAGAGUUAAACAGUACGUGAAAUUGUCAAAAGGGAAGCGUUUGACACCAGUGUUGUUUUUCCGAAAAUCAAUUACGAAUGUUUUGUUUUUAAGAAGUUAUGACUUCAUCGGCUUGCUCCUUUCUUUACGAAACUUUCUUAAUGCACUUUUCGGUUAACAAGUCAACAUCAAUUUCUUUUGUUGUAAAAGGGUAUGAGGAAGGUGGCUUUCUUUUCGGAGAAAGUGUUUAUAGCCUUGUGCCUCUAGCAAUCGGAGAGAUUGAGGUCUGCAGCGUAGAUCCUUCGGGGUUAGAUACAUUUGUGCUAAGUUAUAGCUUUUCAUAGACAACUUGUUGACUAUGUUUAGUCUUGUAGCUUACUCGCUGACGCUAUUUUACCUACGCUUAGGAUGUUGAGUAGCGACAUACGCAC